UACGUAGGGUGCGAGCGUUAAUCGGAAUUACUGGGCGUAAAGCGUGCGCAGGCGGUUUGAUAAGUCAGAUGUGAAAGCCCCGGGCUCAACCUGGGAACUGCGUUUGAAACUGUCAGGCUAGAGUGUGUCAGAGGGAGGUAGAAUUCCACGUGUAGCAGUGAAAUGCGUAGAGAUGUGGAGGAAUACCGAUGGCGAAGGCAGCCUCCUGGGAUAACACUGACGCUCAUGCACGAAAGCGUGGGGGAGCAAACAGG
rnacentral:rRNA from 1 species